rnacentral:rRNA from 1 species
GACGAACGCUGGCGGCGUGCUUAACACAUGCAAGUCGAACGGAAAGGCCCUGCUUCUGUGGGGUGCUCGAGUGGCGAACGGGUGAGUAACACGUGAGUAACCUGCCCUUGACUUUGGGAUAACUUCAGGAAACUGGGGCUAAUACCGGAUAGGAGCUCCUGCUGCAUGGUGGGGGUUGGAAAGUUUCGGCGGUUGGGGAUGGACUCGCGGCUUAUCAGCUUGUUGGUGGGGUAGUGGCUUACCAAGGCUCUGACGGGUAGCCGGCCUGAGAGGGUGACCGGCCACAUUGGGACUGAGAUACGGCCCAGACUCCUACGGGAGGCAGCAGUGGGGAAUAUUGCACAAUGGGCGGAAGCCUGAUGCAGCAACGCCGCGUGCGGGAUGACGGCCUUCGGGUUGUAAACCGCUUUCGCCUGUGACGAAGCGUGAGUGACGGUAAUGGGUAAAGAAGCACCGGCUAACUACGUG